GACGAACGCUGGCGGCGUGCUUAACACAUGCAAGUCGAACGGAAAGGCCCUGCUUUUGUGGGGUGCUCGAGUGGCGCACGGGUGAGUAACACGUGAGUAUCCUGCCCUUGACUUUGGGAUAACUUCAGGAAACUGGGGCUAAUACCGGAUAUGAGCUCCUGCUGCAUGGUGGGGGUUGGAAAGUUUCGGCGGUUGGGGAUGGACUCGCGGCUUAUCAGCUUGUUGGUGGGGUAGUGGCUUACCAAGGCUUUGACGGGUAGCCGGCCUGAGAGGGUGACCGGCCACAUUGGGACUGAGAGACGGACCAGACUCCUACGGGAGGCAGCAGGGGGGAAUAUUGCACAAUGGGCGGAAGCCUGAUGCAGCAACGCCGCGUGCGGGAUGACGGCCUUCGGGUUGUAAACCGCUUUCGCCUGUGACGAAGCGUGAGUGACGGUAAUGGGUAAAGAAGCACCGGCUAACUACGUG
rnacentral:rRNA from 1 species